GACGAACGCUGGCGGCGUGCUUAACACAUGCAAGUCGAACGGAAAUGCCCUGCUUUUGUGGGGUGCUCGAGUGGCGAACGGUUGAUUAACACGUGAGUAACCUGCCCUUGACUUUGGGAUAACUUCAGGAAACUGGGGCUAAUACCGGAUAGGAGCUCCUGCUGCAUGGUGGGGGUUGGAAAGUUUCGGCGGUUGGGGAUGGACUCGCGGCUUAUCAGCUUGUUGGUGGGGUAGUGGCUUACCAAGGCUUUGGCGGGUGGCCGGCCUGAGAGGGUGACCGGCCACAUUGGGACUGAGAUACGGCCCAGACUCCUACGGGAGGCAGCAGUGGGGAAUAUUGCACAAUGGGCGGAAGCCUGAUGCAGCAACGCCGCGUGCGGGAUGACGGCCUUCGGGUUGUAAACCGCUUUCGCCUGUGACGAAGCGUGAGUGACGGUAAUGGGUAAAGAAGCACCGGCUAACUACGUG
rnacentral:rRNA from 1 species